GACGAACGCUGGCGGCGUGCCUAAUACAUGCAAGUUGAGCGCUGAAGGCUGGUACUUGUACCAACUGGAUGAGCAGCGAACGGGUGAGUAACGCGUGGGGAAUCUGCCUUUGAGCGGGGGACAACAUUUGGAAACGAAUGCUAAUACCGCAUAAAAACUUUAAACACAAGUUUUAAGUUUGAAAGAUGCAAUUGCAUCACUCAAAGAUGAUCCCGCGUUGUAUUAGCUAGUUGGUGAGGUAAAGGCUCACCAAGGCGAGGAUACAUAGCCGACCUGAGAGGGUGAUCGGCCGCAUUGGGACUGAGACCCGGCCCAAACGCCUACGGGAGGCAGCAGUAGGGAAUCUUCGGCAAUGGACGAAAGUCUGACCGAGCAACGCCGCGUGAGUGAAGAAGGUUUUCGGAUCGUAAAACUCUGUUGGUAGAGAAGAACGUUGGUGAGAGUGGAAAGCUCAUCAAGUGACGGUAACUACCCAGAAAGGGACGGCUAACUACGUG
rnacentral:rRNA from 1 species